GGGCUCCAUCCCAGGACUCCAGGAUCAUGACCAGAGCUGAAGGUUUUCCAGUAACCCCCGUGCGGUGGACAGAACCUAAGCACACUGGAGCUAGAGACUCUCCUUGUGGGCCUGAUGGAGUGAGUAAACAGCCAUGUUGUAGAAGCCCACAUGACAUAACCCCCAGGAGCUGCGGAUGCCUCUGGAACCAGCUGACAGCCAUCAAAAACCCCAGGCCUUGAGCCAUACAGUCCAAAGGAAAUAAGUUCUGCCAAGAAAACCUGAAGGCGCUUGCAUGUGGAUUCUUCCCCAGUUGAGUCUCUGGGUGAGGAUGCAGCCUUGCUGAUAACCUUGAUUAUAGCCUUCUGAGACCUGGAGCAAAAGAUUCAGCUGAUAGGGCUGAGGCUCCUGACCUGAACCUCAGAUAAUGUAUGUUGUUUUAAGCCAUUAAAUUUGUGAUAAUUUGAAUCACAGCAA